AAAGAAAUAUUUUAUAAAAGCUUCUAACUUUUCUUAAAGCAUUAAAUUGUUUAU
rnacentral:tRNA from 1 species